UACGUAGGGGGCAAGCGUUGUCCGGAUUCAUUGGGCGUAAAGAGCGUGUAGGCGGCCAGGUAGGUCGGUUGUGAAAACUCGAGGCUCAACCUCGAGACGUCGGCGGAAACCAUCUGGCUAGAGUCCGGAAGAGGAGAGUGGAAUUCCUGGUGUAGCGGUGAAAUGCGCAGAUAUCAGGAGGAACACCCGUGGCGAAAGCGGCUCUCUGGGACGGUACUGACGCUGAGACGCGAAAGCGUGGGGAGCAAACAGG
rnacentral:rRNA from 1 species